rnacentral:misc_RNA from 1 species
AUUGAUUGGGUUUCUGUUACCGCGUUUACAUUUUGGUGAAGUCAGUAUUUGCGAGACAUCUGCAGCUCAAAGCAAGUAUCAACAACACAUGUUUCGUUGAACCUCUAAACCUGAUUCACAGUUACAGGAAAUAUCUUCCCUUUUGGAGAUUUUUGGUUUACUAAGAAGGAACAUUUUUUUUGGGUUCUCAAGUGAAUGGUACAAUCCUGCUCGCGAGUGAUG